rnacentral:rRNA from 1 species
UCCGGGCGGUUCCCCCUUCGGGGGGACAGGGUGACAGGUGGUGCAUGGUUGUCGUCAGCUCGUGUCGUGAGAUGUUGGGUUAAGCCCCGCAACGAGCGCAACCCUCGACCUUAGUUGCCAGCAUUCAGUUGGGCACUCUAAGGUGACUGCCGGCUAAAAGUCGGAGGAAGGUGGGGAUGACGUCAAAUCAUCAUGCCCCUUAUGACCUGGGCUACACACGUGCUACAAUGGGCGGUACAAAGGGUCGCGAACCCGCGAGGGGGAGCCAAUCCCAAAAAGCCGCUCUCAGUUCGGAUUGCAGGCUGCAACUCGCCUGCAUGAAGCCGGAAUCGCUAGUAAUCGCGGAUCAGCAUGCCGCGGUGAAUACGUUCCCAGGCCUU